GAGAGGGUGUAAGUCCCGUAACCGUAAUGCGUGACGCCGUUUGGAGAGGAUCCCAAGUAGCACGGGGCCCGAGAAAUCCCGUGUGAAUCUGUCAGGACCACCUGAUAAGCCUAAAUACUCCCAGAUGACCGAUAGCGGACAAGUACCGUGAGGGAAAGGUGAAAAGUACCCCGGGAGGGGAGUGAAAUAGUACCUGAAACCGUGUGCUUACAAGCGG
rnacentral:rRNA from 11 species